GCAAGUAUAGUGGAUAUGACUCUCGACUUGUAACCGAGUAGGCUCGAGUUCGAAUCCCGAAUGGAUGCA